UACGUAGGGCGCAAGCGUUGUCCGGAAUUAUUGGGCGUAAAGAGCUCGUAGGCGGCCAGUUGCGUCUGCUGUGAAAUCCCGGGGCUCAACCCCGGGCGUGCAGUGGAUACGGGCUGGCUAGAGGCAGGCAGGGGAGAACGGAAUUCCCGGUGUAGCGGUGAAAUGCGCAGAUAUCGGGGAGGAACACCGGUGGCGAAGGCGGUUCUCUGGGCCUUACCUGACGCUGAGGAGCGAAAGCGUGGGGAGCGAACAGG
rnacentral:rRNA from 1 species